rnacentral:misc_RNA from 1 species
GAUGAAGAACGUAGCGAAAUGCGAUAAGUAAUGUGAAUUGCAGAAUUCAGUGAAUCAUCGAAUCUUUGAACGCACAUUGCGCCCGCCAGUAUUCUGGCGGGCAUGCCUGUUCGAGCGUCAUUUCAACCAUCAAGCCCCCGGCUUGUGUUGGGGACCUGCGGCUGCCGCAGGCCCUGAAAAGCAGUGGCGGGCUCGCUGUCACACCGAGCGUAGUAGCAUACAUCUCGCUCUGGGCGUGCUGCGGGUUCCGGCCGUUAAACCACCUUCAUAACCCAAGGUUGACCUCGGAUCAGGUAGGAAGACCCGCUGAACUUAAGCAUAUCAACAAGCGGAGGA